rnacentral:lncRNA from 1 species
UUUCUCUCCUCUCUCCCCCAAUUCAUCGUCUCUCUCUCUCUCUCUCCAGGCUGUAGCGAUUUCAAUCUUUAAACUCUUAAUUGGAUCUUUAACAUUAGCGACUGAAGCCCGUAUUUUGCCUUCUUCUCAAUGGAUAUCAUCCUUUAAAGAUAAGAAAUAGUUAUUGGAGUACAUUAAUAAACAAACCUUCAAGGUAAUCUGAUUGAUUAAUUUUACAAUUUAUGAGAUUAGUUCACUGCAAAUGGGUCUAAUUUUAAUCACAUACAACCCAUUCCUCUCUUGAAUUCUUAAUUUCAACUUAAGGAUUUAAUGAUAAGAGUUUCUUGAUUGAAAAGUGUAAAUUAAUUUUUUCUGAAUAGUUGUUAAAUCUGUAGCAUUUAGUUAAUAAUGCAGUUAAUAUUGAUCAUUUCUUUUUAAUGGGAAUGGUGAACUGAAGUAGUUUGAUUUUUAGUUUAACUGAAAUUGCUUGCAUGUUGUCAAAUUAUUUGAUUAAUUGCUUAAGUGAUUAUCUUCAAACUGAUUUUGAUAAUAUGAAUUGGGAAGUAAAGUUUGUUUGUUUGCAUAUUGUCUUGGUUGGUGGCGUGAAAUUAUUGUCUUGUUUUCAAAAGGAUUUGUGUCUUACGAUUAGUCUUUUGAACAUUUUGAAAGUCAACAUUCAAAUUUUAGAAUGGAUGAUAGCUACUCUAUCUAAGGAAUAAAUUGUUCCCAGAGUAUCUUGUAUGAUAGCUUCAAAUCACCUCAUUUCAUUUUGGUAAGCUCUUAUUAUAUAUUUUGUAAAAGCUCUUAUUACUAUUUUGUAUUAAUUUAAUUUAAUUUUUUAAGAUGAGGUCUGGUCCACGUGUAUAAUUAGUAUGCUCGAAGCAUUUGGAGAUUAUAGGAUUAUGAUCUGGUGUGGUCAUUUGCAAUCUCUUCGAGCUCUACCAAAGUAAAAAUGUGAAGAUUUGAUGCAAUGACAAAAUUUGAGGUUUCAUAUGCAAACAAAAGAUAUAAAAUGUCAUUUCGAAGAAAUUACUAGUCUUGCUAUGACUCUAGACGUGCACAUUUUAUAUAAUUUUUCAUCUAUUAAAUUGCAAAUAUUUGUAUUUGCUUAAAAAGUACAUAAAGUAAAAAAAAAGAAGAAGUGUUGUCAUCGGGAAAAAUUAUGUUAAAUUUGUUAUAUAAUUUCUUAUGUAUAAAGUACUAAUGUUGAGUUUCUUCAAGAGUAUUAUGCCUAAUUUCAUUCAUUUUAGCAAAUAAACUUCUUAUUUACAGAGUACAAUUUAUACCCAAUUGAUUCUCUAAUCAUCCAUUGUUCUAAUGCAGGUCCCCACUCGUACAUAUGACAUCGGAUCAUAGUUGGACGAUGCUUCGGUCAGAUGAAGGAUUUCUUUCAGACAAAUUUAUUGAAGAGGUUGAAGAAUUCAUUAAAUUUUCCAUAUCUCAAAUAGGAGUUGGAGAUAUAAUUAAAUGCCCAUGCUCUAUAUGUAACAAUAGAAGGUUUCUAAAAGGGGAUGAUGUGAAAUUUCAUAUUUAUAAAAAUGGAUUUACAAGGGGCUAUACGCAAUGGAAUGCACAUGGAGAACCAUUUACUUUCAAUGGCCCAGGUUUAGUUGAGUCUCAACUAUACGAGCUACAACAAACUAUACCCAUGAAGCAAUGAUGAUAGAUGCGAUGGGUCCAGAAUUGUACAAUGAUUAUAUUAGUCCAAAUGUUUGUGGACAUAAGGAACAAGCCCUAAAUCAACAUGCAGCAAAUUUCUUUAGACUAUUACAAGAAGUUGACAAACCUGUUUGGCUUGAUUGUAGUAAGCAUACCAACCUUUCUACAAUGGCACAACGCAUGAAUCUAAAGUCUGAAUUUAACAUGUCCACAGCGUGCUAUGAUCGUGUUUUCUAUCAUUAAGGGAAUUAUGCCAGAAGGUGACCAGUUAGAAGAUACAUACUAUAAAACAAAGAAAAUGUUAUCUAGUCUUGGUCUUAAUGUUGUGAAGAUCUAUGCUUGUGUUACAUAUUACAUGUUGUACUAUAGAGAAACUGAUAGUAUGACUCAUUGCAGUACGUGUUUAGCCCACGAUACAAAGAGAAGGUGUCUCGAUCUAGACAUAGGGUACCUCAGAAGGUAUUGAGAUAUUUACAUCUAACCUCUGGGCUUCAACGAUUGUAUAUGUCGAGGUACACUGUAGAGCAUUUGUUAUGGCAUUUGAAUAAUUAAUUAAUUGAUAAUGAAAUGUCACACUCCGUAUAUAGUGAGGCAUGGAAGUAUUUUGAUAGAAUUUAUCCUCAAUUUUUCCUUGAACCACGUAGUGUACGUCUUGGUUUAUGCAUGGAUGGGUUCAACCCCUAUAGCAUGUCUAAUGUGCAGUACUCAUGUUGGCCUGUAAUCAUUGUUGUGUAUAAUCUCCUUCCAUUGAUGUGCAUGCAACAAGAAAACUUGUUCUUGAGUAUAGUAAUUCUGGGACCAAAGAGUCCAGUGAAAAAUCUAGAUGUUCAUUUGCACCUCUCAUUGAUGAACUAAAAAUGCUUUGGAAUGAAGGUAUUGAAACUUAUGACAUGCAUACAAAGAAGAAUUUUCUGUUUAAUAUUGCAUUGUUAUGGACUAUUAGUGAUUUUUUAGGAUAUGGCAUGUUGUCUGGAUGAAGUAUGCACAGUUUAAAGUUUGUUCAUAUUGUAUGGGCUAGACUAAAUCCUCCAGACUUAAAAAUGGAGGGAAACAUCUUUUUUUGAUUGUCACCGCCAAUUCUUGCCACCCCAGCAUCCAUUUAGAAAACAAAGAGACAAGUUUUACAUAGGUAGAGUUGAGAAGGACAUAUCACGAUGAAGGCUAAUCGGUGAAGAAUUGCGAAGUAUAGUGGAGAACCUCCCACACGUUGAAAGUGGUAGAGCUAAUAAGAGACAAGAGAUUGAAGGUUUUGGUCGUAUUCAUAAUUGGGUAAAGAAGAGCAUUUUUUGGGAGCUGCCUUAUUAGGAUACAAAUAUCGUAAGACACAAUUUAGAUGUAAUGCACAUUGAAAAGAAUGUUUUCGACAAUAUAUUCAACACAAUUAUGGACAUACAAGGAAAAACCAAAGACAACUUCAAGGCCAGAAAGGAUUUGGUGCUUUAUAGCAACUAUUCGGAGCUUCAUGUAUAUGAAGAUGAAAGAGGAAAAUUGUUCAUGCCAAAGGCCUUUUAUAGCUUAACUAUUGAACAAAAAAUGAGAAGUAUGCAAUUGGAUUAGAAAUCUAAGAAUGCCCAAUGUUAUGCAUUGAACAUUUCACGUUGUGUUUAGGGUGACUGUGAAUUCAAUGGAAUGAAGAGCUAUGAUUGUCAUAUUUUUAUGCAAAGAUUGCUACCGAUUGCAUUUAAAGACUUGUUGUCGAAACCAAUUUGGGAAGCUUUAACUAAACUUAGCCACUUCUUUAGGGAUAUAUGCUCUACCGUGUUGAGGGUGAAAGAUAUGGAGCAAUUGGGACAAUAUUGUUGUGAUAUUAUGCAAGCUUAGAAAGAUAUUUCCACUGGGAUUUUUUGAUUCAAUGGAACAUUUACCUAUUCAUCUAGCAUAUGAAGAAAAGGUUGGAGGUCCUGUUCAGUAUCGUUAGAUGUAUCAUUUUGAAAGAUAUCAUAUUCUUUAAAAUUUAAAUUACCUUCUGAAAUGAGAAUGAUAUUGAAUAUUGAUUUCGUAUAUCACAGGUUCCUACACCACUUAAAAAAGAAGGUGAAAAAUCGGGCUCAUCUUGAGGCAUCUGUUGUUGAGGCAUACCUAGUAGAAGAAAUGUCAACUUUUUGCUCUUUGUAUUUUGACCAACAUGUUGAAACAAGGUUGAAUCAUGUGUUGAGAAAUGAUGAUGGAGGUUUUGUCAAUCCUAAAUGACGACUAUCAAUUUUUACUCACCUUGGACGAUCCUUUCGCGUUCAACGUCGUAAUGUCAGAUUAAUGACAACUGAGGAAUUCAGAGCAGCUUCAAUGUAUGUUCUCUUGAAUUGAGAGGAAGUAAUCCCUUUUGUGGUGUAAGUUGUUAUAAUUACAUUUGAAAUAUAUGUGUUGAAUUGUAGAGUUGUUAGCUGCAUUAUAGUUUUUCACUUUCAUGUAGGAAGCUUGAUAAACACAGGAGAACAUUGUAUCCCCAAAUUUCUAAUGCACAAUUUAAUGGUUUACGCGAGGAACAUUUUUCACGUUGGUUGAGGAAAUACGUAAGUGAUUAUGCAAAUAUUGUCUCCACUGCCUACAAAGUAUUUGAUAAAAUGAGUUCUAAUACACAUUAUUUCUUCUGUUCAGGUUUUGGAUGAUCAUAAUGCAGUUGAUAAUCGCAUUAAGGCUUCUCAUAUAAUGAAAUGUUAUAAUGAAUACUUUGUCAAUGGUUUUGAGUUUCACACUUUAGACUAUGGUCCGAACAAAGCAACAAUGAAUAGUGGUGUUUGCGUACUGGGAAGUUGUCAUAAUGAUAAUGAGGGUGACUACUAUGGUAGGUUAAUUGAAAUAUUAGAACUAAAUUAUUUAGGGGAUAUUGUAAACAAGAUUAUUUUAUUCCAGCGUGAUUGGUUUGACACCAAUGGUGGGGUUAGAGUCCAUCGAAGAUUCAAUCUCGUCGAGCUUAUUCAUAAGAAGAAACUACCAUUAAAUGAUGUAUUUAUACUUGCUCAACAAGUAUAUUACACGUGUUUUCCUACAAAUGCUAGAGAUAGAGUUGAUUGGUGGGUGGUUGUGAAAACAAAAGCAAUAAAUGUUCCCAAUAUACAAGGAAUCAUAUUGGAGAAUGAAGAGUGUAAUGUGUGAGUGGAACUUGCAUUCCAAGAGGAUCAACCAUUGUCUACCCAGUAACUUGUUCGAAUAUCAACGUUCGAUCGCCGAAAUUUAGCUUGUGAUGAUGUCGGCGCUGAAGAAGUAGUCUGGUUUGACUCUAGGAUGUCCAAUAUAGAAGUAGAAGAAAAUGUGGAACUAGAUUACGUUGAUAGUAGUGAUGGUUUCACGACAAGUGCAAGUAAAGGAGAAAAUUGUAUUCUUAUUAUUCUUUUGGUUUUUAGUUCAUUUGUUAGUUUUAUGUCAUUGUUCAUAUUUUUCAUGGACUUAAGAGCCUCACCUUGCAGUAGGAAAGUGUUCGUUGUUGGGACGGGUUCAAACUGGACUGAAGGGAGGAGGAAUUUAAUACUUCGAUCUUCCUGGGUAUUCAUCACUGGCUAGGGCUUUUGCAGGAUAACAUUUAACCAGUAUAUGAGAAAGAGAAUGGUGGCCAGACUGGAGAAGGGUGCUACAUGAGGAGCUGUGAUGUUUCAAGUACCUAAAUUUUAGCAAUUGAGUGAUUUUGAGAAAUGGUGAUUCAAGAAUCCAAUUAUGGCGAUCUGCACUGCAGCCAAGCCCAUGUCAAAUCCCAGCAGAAAUCUCCUAACUAAACUUGCUAGUACCCAUUCUCUACGUGUUUAAAUUGGACCCCUUGUAUCUGUUCGAUAAUAAUGAAUUUAUGUGCUGAGUGCUACCUUGAAUUCAUGCUGGACACAAUUUGUUUUGUUGGCACUCCUUGUAUCUUGGUGCACAAUCUUGUAUUCUAUUUGAGACCUCUACUGCCUUGGACGUUUUAAUGUUAUUUCUUUAGUUGGUUUGUUAAUAAUUUGAUGUUGUGGCUUUCAAAGUCUAGCAAAGUUUACUAUUACCAUGGUACUUAGACACAUUCUGUUGUGUAGAGUAAGC